CGAGCUUGAUCCUGGCUCAGGAUAAACGCUGGCGGUGUGCUUAAUGCAUGCAAGUCGACCGGGGAUGAAGAUUUCGGUUUUCAUCUAAGUGGCAGACGGGUGAGUAACACGUAGGUAACCUAUCCUUAAGUGGGGAAUAACCUUGAGAAAUUGGGGCUAAUACCGCAUGAAGUGCCGGGGGUAAUGCCCUGGUACCAAAGCCGAAAGGCGCUGAGGGAGGGGCCUGCGGCCUAUCAGGUAGUUGGUGGGGUAAUGGCCUACCAAGCCUACGACGGGUAGCUGGUCUGAGUGGAUGUCCAGCCACACUGGGACUGAGACACGGCCCAGACUCCUACGGGAGGCAGCAGCAAGGAAUUUUGCGCAAUAGGCGAAAGCCUGACGCAGCAACACCGCGUGGGGGAAGAAGGCUUUCGGGUCGUAAACCCCUUUUGCCGGGGAAGAAGUUCUGACGGUACCCGACGAAUAAGCCCCGGCUAACUACGUGCCAGCAGCCGCGGUAAUACGUAGGGGGCAAGCGUUAUCUGGAUUUACUGGGCGUAAAGAGCGCGCAGGCGGCUCAUCAAGUCAGAUGUGAAAUCUCCCGGCUCAACUGGGAGGGGUCAUCUGAAACUGGUGGGCUUGAGGGCAGUAGAGGGAGGUGGAAUUCCCGGUGUAGUGGUGAAAUACGUAGAUAUCGGGAGGAACACCAGUGGCGAAGGCGACCUCCUGGACUGUACCUGACGCUGAGGCGCGAAAGCGUGGGUAGCAAACAGGAUUAGAUACCCUGGUAGUCCACGCCCUAAACGUUGGAUACUAGGUAUGGGGGGUAUCGACCCCCUCCGUGCCGAAGUUAACGCUAUAAGUAUCCCGCCUGGGGACUACGGCCGCAAGGCUAAAACUCAAAGGAAUUGACGGGGGCCCGCACAAGCAGCGGAGCGUGUGGUUUAAUUCGACGCAACGCGAAGAACCUUACCAAGGCUUGACAUGUACCUGAAGUCCUGAGAAAUCAGGAUGUCCUUCGGGACAGGUAGACAGAUGCCGCAUGGCUGUCGUCAGCUCGUGCCGUGAGGUGUUGGGUUAAGUCCCACAACGAGCGCAACCCUCGUCGUCAGUUGAUUUCUCUGGCGAGACUGCCUCUUACAAAGGGGAGGAAGGUGAGGAUGACGUCAAGUUAGCACGGCUCUUACGCCUUGGGCUACACACACGCUACAAUGGGUGGUACAAAGGGCUGCGAAGGAGCGAUCCGGAGCGAAUCCCAUCAAAGCCAUCCUCAGUUCAGAUUGGAGGCUGAAACUCGCCUCCAUGAAGUUGGAGUUGCUAGUAACUGCAGGUCAGCAUACUGCGGUGAAUACGUUCUCGGGCCUUGUACACACCGCCCGUCACGUCAUGAAAGCCGGCAACACCUGAAGUCGAUGAGCCAACCUUUAUAGGAGGCAAUCGCCCAGGGUGGGGCUGGUGAUUGGGACGAAGUCGUAACAAGGUA
rnacentral:rRNA from 1 species